rnacentral:rRNA from 1 species
UGAGACACGGUCCAGACUCUACGGGAGGCAGCAGUGGGGAAUAUUGCACAAUGGGCGCAAGCUGAUGCAGCCAUGCCGCGUGUGUGAAGAAGGCCUUCGGGUUGUAAAGCACUUUCAGCAGUGAGGAAGGCGGGUACGUUAAUAGCGUAUUCGUUUGACGUUAGCUGCAGAAGAAGCACCGGCUAACUCCGUGCCAGCAGCCGCGGUAAUACGGAGGGUGCGAGCGUUAAUCGGAAUUACUGGGCGUAAAGCGCAUGCAGGUGGUUCGUUAAGUCAGAUGUGAAAGCCCGGGGCUCAACCUCGGAACUGCAUUUGAAACUGGCGGACUAGAGUACUGUAGAGGGGGGUAGAAUUUCAGGUGUAGCGGUGAAAUGCGUAGAGAUCUGAAGGAAUACCGGUGGCGAAGGCGGCCCCCUGGACAGAUACUGACACUCAGAUGCGAAAGCGUGGGGAGCAAACAGGAUUAGAUACCCUGGUAGUCCACGCCGUAAACGAUGUCUACUUGGAGGUUGUGGCCUUGAGCCGUGGCUUUCGGAGCUAACGCGUUAAGUAGACCGCCUGGGGAGUACGGUCGCAAGAUUAAAACUCAAAUGAAUUGACGGGGGCCCGCACAAGCGGUGGAGCAUGUGGUUUAAUUCGAUGCAACGCGAAGAACCUUACCUACUCUUGACAUCCAGAGAAGCCAGCGGAGACGCAGGUGUGCCUUCGGGAGCUCUGAGACAGGUGCUGCAUGGCUGUCGUCAGCUCGUGUUGUGAAAUGUUGGGUUAAGUCCCGCAACGAGCGCAACCCUUAUCCUUGUUUGCCAGCGAGUAAUGUCGGGAACUCCAGGGAGACUGCCUGUGAUAAACCGGAAGAAAGUGGG